GAAGAACUGCGAACCAUUUGUGUUGGGACCAGCAUUGGCCAUGGACAGAACACCUGCAACAAAGAUAAGAACAUCAAGGACGGAAACCGCCCUUGUUCUACUCCUCUCUGGCUAUUAAGAAACUGGGUCCACUAGGACCACACAAUCAGUGCAUCAGUGGCAGUUUUGCUACCAGACUAACCACUCUCACAGUUCAAAUAGGCGGAAAAGAGAAUCCCGGUACUGUACCCAACUAUAGGAAGAGACUUCACGACCUGUAAGCAUCGAAAAGUCCCGAAACAACCCAGCAAAUCCCAGUGAAACAUUCAACCCCAUGUUUCAUCUCUCUCAGGAACACCAAAUGACAAGUGAAACAUCAUGGCCUAGUGGAAAGAGCACGGUCCGGGAGUCGGAGGGCCUGGACGCUAA